rnacentral:rRNA from 1 species
UACGUAGGCAGCGAGCGUUGUUCGGAAUUACUGGGCGUAAAGAGUGUGUAGGCGGUGCUCUAAGUUCGGUGUGAAAUCUCCCGUGCUUACUGGAGGGUGCGCCGGAAACUGGAGUGCUCGAGCGUGGAGAGGAAAGCGGAAUUCCUGGUGUAGCGGUGAAAUGCGUAGAUAUCAGGAGGAACACCUGCGGUGUAGACGGCUUUCUGGACCAUUGCUGACGCUGAGACACGAAAGCGUGGGUAGCAAACAGG